rnacentral:rRNA from 1 species
AGUGCGGUAGCACAGGGGAGCUUGCGUCCCUGGGUGACGAGCGUGCGGACGGGUGAGUAAUGUCUGGGAAACUGCCUGAUGGAGGGGGAUAACUACUGGAAACGGUAGCUAAUACCGCAUAACGUCGCAAGACCAAAGAGGGGGACCUUCGGGCCUCUUGCCAUCAGAUGUGCCCAGAUGGGAUUAGCUAGUAGGUGGGGUAAUGGCUCACCUAGGCGACGAUCCCUAGCUGGUCUGAGAGGAUGACCAGCCACACUGGAACUGAGACACGGUCCACACUCCUACGGGAGGCAGCAGUGGGGAAUAUUGCACAAUGGGCGCAAGCCUGAUGCGGCCAUGCCGCGUGUGUGAAGAAGGCCUUCGGGUUGUAAAGCAUUUUCAGCGAGGAGGAAGGUGGUGAACU